GCAAGCGUUGUCCGGAAUUAUUGGGCGUAAAGAGCUCGYAGGUGGUUWGUUACGUCGGGUGUGAAAAYCUGGGGCUCAACCCCAGACCUGCACUCGAUACUGGCUAGCUAGAGUGUGGUAGGGGAGACUGGAAUUCCUGGUGUAGCGGUGRAAUGCGCAGAUAUCAGGAGGAACACCAAUGGCGAAGGCGGGUYUCUGGGCCAUUACUGACACUGAGGARCGAAAGCGCGGGGAGCGAACAGGAUUAGAUACCCUGGUAGUCCASGCCGUAAACGRUGGGCACUAGUU
rnacentral:rRNA from 1 species